UACAGAGGUCUCAAGCGUUGUUCGGAUUCAUUGGGCGUAAAGGGCGCGCAGGCGGCUUGUUUUGUCAGGCGUGAAAGCCCCGGGCUUAACCUGGGAACUGCGUUUGAUACGGACGGGCUAGAGUUCGGGAGAGGAGAGUGGAAUUCCCAGUGUAGAGGUGAAAUUCGUAGAUAUUGGGAAGAACACCGGUGGCGAAGGCGGCUCUCUGGACCGAGACUGACGCUGAGGCGCGAAAGCGUGGGGAGCAAACAGG
rnacentral:rRNA from 1 species